UGAGGAAUAUUGGUCAAUGGGCGGGAGCCUGAACCAGCCAAGUAGCGUGAAGGACGACGGCCCUACGGGUUGUAAACUUCUUUUAUAAGGGAAUAAAGUUCGCCACGUGUGGUGUUUUGUAUGUACCUUAUGAAUAAGCAUCGGCUAAUUCCGUGCCAGCAGCCGCGGUAAUACGGAAGAUGCGAGCGUUAUCCGGAUUUAUUGGGUUUAAAGGGAGCGUAGGCGGGCUUUUAAGUCAGCGGUCAAAUGUCACGGCUCAACCGUGGCCAGCCGUUGAAACUGCAAGCCUUGAGUCUGCACAGGGCACAUGGAAUUCGUGGUGUAGCGGUGAAAUGCUUAGAUAUCACGAAGAACUCCGAUCGCGAAGGCAUUGUGCCGGGGCAUAACUGACGCUGAGGCUCGAAAGUGCGGGUAUCAAACAGG
rnacentral:rRNA from 1 species